rnacentral:rRNA from 1 species
GACGAACGCUGGCGGCGUGCUUAACACAUGCAAGUCGAACGGAAAGGCCCUGCUUUUGUGGGGUGCUCGAGUGGCGAACGGGUGAGUAACACGUGAGUAACCUGCCCUUGACUUUGGGAUAACUUCAGGAAACUGGGGCUAAUACCGGAUAGGAGCUCCUGCUGCAUGGUGGGGGUUGGAAAGUUUCGGCGGUUGGGGAUGGACUCGCGGCUUAUCAGCUUGUUGGUGGGGUAGUGGCUUACCAAGGCUUUGACGGGUAGCCGGCCUGAGAGGGUGACCGGCCAAAUGGGGACUGAGAUACGGCCCAGACUCCUACGGGGGGGAGGAGGGGGGAAUAUUGCAAAAGGGGGGGAAGCCUGAUGCAGCAACGCCGGGGGGGGGAUGGGGGCCUUGGGGUUGAAAACCGCUUUCCCCUGGGACGAAGCGGGAGGGACGGUAAUGGGAAAAGAAGCACGGGAUAACUACGU